rnacentral:rRNA from 1 species
ACAUGGAGGGUUUGAUCCUGGCUCAGGGUGAACGCUGGCGGCGUGCCUUACACAUGCAAGUCGAGCGAAGCUGCUAACUGGAGC